rnacentral:rRNA from 1 species
AUGUUCAAGAUGCAUACGCUCCUAUGUGCGAUUUUCCUCAUCCUCCAACUCUCGCCCCCCAUGCCGGUGAUCUCGUCACCCUCCGGUGCUCGGCAUUACAAAUUUAGCUUCGGCGACUCCUUAGCCGACACCGGCAAAGGCCCUGUCAUCUUUGAGCGGUUCUCCAUCUUCAAUCCCGUCACACGACCUCCGUAUGGCAGCACCUUCUUUGGCCGCCCCAGUGGACGAGACUGCGAUGGCCGGCUCAUCAUCGACUUCAUUGCUGAAAACUUGGGCUUGCCAUAUGUGCCGGCCACCCAGGUGCACAACGGCAGCUUCCAUCAAGGUGCCAAUUUCGCCGUUGCUGCCGCCAUCAAGGUAUCCCCGGUGCACCCAGCAAGUUCCCGCUCAACACCAGCUUAG